UGCCAGCCGCCGCGGUAAUACGGAGGUGGCAAGCGUUGCUCGGAAUUACUGGGCUUAAAGGGCGUGUAGGCGGCUAGAUCAGUCGGGUGUGAAAGCCCUCGGCUUAACCGAGGAAUUGCAUUCGAUACUGUCUGGCUUGAGUGCGGGAGGGGAGAGUGGAACUCUAGGUGUAGCGGUGAAAUGCGUAGAUAUCUAGAGGAACGCCGGUGGCGAAAGCGACUCUCUGGCCCGCAACUGACGCUGAGGCGCGAAAGCUAGGGUAGCGAACGGGAUUAGAUA
rnacentral:rRNA from 1 species